rnacentral:lncRNA from 1 species
GAGGUAUCGAGGACUCUGGCUUGGCAGGCCUAUGAGAGAGUCUCCUUGAAAAAUUUAUGAGAGCUUUUGUAAGGGGUGAGCGGUGAGAGCUUCUUGAUGAGAGAGAUUUGUGUAUGAAAAUUGAGAGUGGAUGUUCUCUUCUUGUACUUAUUUUCUCUUUUAUAGUGAAGCCUUUGCUUGCCCCAUGAAGGUAGACCUUGGUUUAGUCCACAUACUUGAUUGU